ACAGCAGCCGCCGCGGUAAUACGUAGGUCCCGAGCGUUGUCCGGAUUUAUUGGGCGUAAAGGGAGCGCAGGCGGUUUAGUAAGUCUGAAGUUAAAGGCAUUGGCUCAACCAAUGUAUGCUUUGGAAACUGUUAGACUUGAGUGCAGAAGGGGAGAGUGGAAUUCCAUGUGUAGCGGUGAAAUGCGUAGAUAUAUGGAGGAACACCGGUGGCGAAAGCGGCUCUCUGGUCUGUCACUGACGCUGAGGCUCGAAAGCGUGGGUAGCGAACAGGAUUAGAUACCCCGGUAGUCCCUGUCUCUUAUACA
rnacentral:rRNA from 1 species